rnacentral:sRNA from 1 species
UUCAGACUAAACAUCUACAAAAUUGCGACUCCAUUAAAUUACUGUUUGACUAAAAUUAAUUAGUAACUUUUUUUUCUUCUUAAAUCACAUUUGAUUUGUUCAUUCCUUUAUACAAUUUGUUUGUUGGGUUUUUUUUUUGAUGCAAAUAAAGGGAAUUGGACAUGUUUAGGCACUUUUACAAACUUUUAUUUCUUUUGAGACACUUCUCACGUACAAGACACUUUUCCUUGUUUUUGAAAAAUAAAUGGACAAUUAUAUCCCCACCCAUCUAAACCAAAAAUUUACUUAACCGGUUAAAAAGGUUUUGUUUUGAUUUGGUUCUCUUCUAAUAAAUCGACAGUUGAUAUUUACAGAUGAGAAAAGGAAGUUACCUUCGCCGACUGAAAUUAUCUCACAAUAUCAAUGUCGAUGGUUGUUAAUUCUUCCGACCAAGCAAUUACUAUGGAAAGUCUCGGAAUCUCCGGGUCACUGUUUCUUGAAUUGGUUAAUAUUACUGUGCAACGAUCUCUCUCCCUUCAAACAAAACCUCUGGAACAAUUUAAAUUGAGUUGCCUCCGCCUUAACCAAGGCAUUGUGACGAUGUUUUUUGCAACGAAUUAACCGCCACUGUGAUUGGAGAGAUGACGUAGAAGUCGAUUAGGAAUCUCCCCAUGAUUCGGGUUAUCGUUUGGAUCUGACUCUGUUUCUGCAUCGUCUCCUCCGGAAGAAGUUUUAAAAAGGAAACGACCUACAAGGCUUGAUAUACCGAUUGGUGUUGAUGGAUUUGUAGCUCCGAUUUCUUCAUCGGCCGAUGUAACUGUGACGUCGAGGGAGGAAUGUAGAGAGGUUGAAAGAGAAGGUGAUGAUUAUUCUGUUUAUUGUAAGAGAGGAAGAAGAGAAGCUAGAGAGGUUGUAUCAAGUUGGGCUCCAAUGAUAAUGUUAGAUGAGCAAACAAAAAAGUGCUAAUUUUAUCGAUCUAUAAACACAUUCGCAGCAAAUCAAAGACAUACUUGUCCAUUAAUGAUUGUCCAAGCAGUCCAGUCCAUAUGGUCAUCAAAUGACUCACAUGGUAGUUUCAUACUAAUACAUAAGUUUAUACAUAAACAAUAAACGCCAAUCCAAAGUACAUUAUCCAUGUCUAUUUGACCAUUUAUCCACAUGUGUAUAGACAUGUUGAGACAAUUUUAUCGAGUUAUAAACACAUUCACAGCAAAUCAAAGACAGACUUGUCCAUUAAUGAUUGUCCAAGCAGUCCAGUACAUAUGGUCAUCUAAUAAGUCAUAUGAUAGUUUCAUACUAAUACAUAAGUUUAUACAUGAACAAUAAACAUCAAUCCAAAGUACAUUAUCCAUGUUUCUUUGACCAUUUAUCCACAUGUAUAUAGACAUGUUGAUACAAUUUUAUCGAGCUAUAAACACAUUCGCAGCAAAUCAAAGACAUACUUGUCCAUUAAUGAUUGUCCAAGCAGUCCAGUCCAUGAUCAUCUAAAGACUCACAUGAUAGUUUCAUACUAAUACAUAAGUUUAUACAUGAACAAUAAACGUCAAUCCAAAGUAUAUUAUCCAUGUUUCUUUGACCAUUUAUCCACAUGUGUAUAGACAGUCAGUUACGUAGACCUCAGUCAGUUAAGGAACUUCUCCAAAUCUGCCAACAUCUCUACAUAUUUUAAUGUAGACGUAAUAGGUUGGUUUGAGGAUAUGAGGACACCGUCAACAAUGAGGAGAUAAGCAAGCCGAAGUCUAUGGUAAGAAGAUAAGGUCUUGUGAUUAACAUUUUUGAAAUAUCACCUAACGUAGCAUUCAUGUCUUCACCUAUUAGCUCUUCACAAUGUUGGGUAUUAUAAAUAAAAUUAGCACACGAUUGAAUAAUUGGAGCAAAUAAAAUGAUUGGAGAAGAUUAAUACCUUACAUUUGAGGACCGAGUAGAAGUUACUAGCACACGCCGGAGACGACGAAUCGAUUAAGAGACAAGAAAAUGAAGACGAUGACGGGAGAACAACUGUUGACGACGACGACGGGAGAGGACGAAUUAAUGUCAGCCGAUUGAAAGCUUUGUUGAUGAUAACGACGAGAGAGUGACGAGGAAAUGACUUUGUCGGUAGAAAACUCGUCGGGAUGAUCGCCGGAGUCGAGAUGAUGUUAUCGGCGUUGUGAUGAUUUUAACUGUCCAGAUAAAUGAAACUGUAAAAUCGUCGUGAAGGAUUGGGUGAGAAAAAGAAGUUUCUCACAAAUUGGUUUUAGUUUAGAGAUUGAGAUUAAAAAAUUAAACCGAAAACCGGCUAAAUUUGUUAGGUUUUGUUAAACCAACGAUUUCAGGGUAAAAUGGUAAUUCUACUGAGUUAAAGUGAUUAAUGUUUUUAAAGUGCCUAUUUAUGGCUAAAGUUUCAAAAUAGUGCCUUUACGUGUAAUAUUCUCGCAAAUAAAUUAUAAUCUUUU